CCCCUCGCGAGAAGAAGGAUGAGGUAUGCAUGAAUUCCUAUUAUAUUUUUGUCUGCAUUUGUACAAAUGAAGUUAUACUGUGCAAUAUGCUUUACAAUCACUUCUUCAGUGGCUCCAUUUAGAUGAGCAAUUAGAUUUGACAAAUAUAAGCAAAAAUAGUCAGGAAAUGGUGGUAAUAUAUCGUGGAUGGAUUCUAUGAAAAACUGGAAAUGCUAGGUUUUCGUCUAUGAUGGAAACAUGGGUCUCCAUAGUUUUUAAGUCUUGGAAGUUUGGAUCUUAAAUGGCCUUCUUGGGAAGGGUGGAAGGCUGGGGAAUGAAAGUGGGCUGGGAAAUUAUGUUUUCCCUUGCUUGGGCUAGUGAAAUAGGAGAGAAUGGUUUUUGAAUAGUGAAUUAUUCACCUGGACCAAGAAAAUUCUCUCUAUCCAACUAGUGAUAUUUGUUAAUGUCAAUCAUAGUUGGUGUGUAACUAUAUAUUAAAAGGUCUUUUGCAGCUGAAAAAUCCUUUUUACCAUUAUUUAUGGGAUUCAUUUGGACUUAUAUAUUGCAAUUGUUGUGCUAUCACCAUCAUCUUACCCACCUUGAUAAUACUUUCAGUUAAGCAUUACUAUUUUGUAUUCUUGUUGACCAGGCAAGAACUGCAAUGAAGUGCU
rnacentral:misc_RNA from 1 species